GUCGUUUAGUACAAUACAUACGCAACACUGGAGCAUAUAUUGGGAAAGUUUAUGAAUAACCCGGGCAGUGGUUUAUGAUCAAGAUCAGCAUCUAUAAACCACUCCAAUUGGUCAGGGAGUAAUGUGUUUUAAUAAUUGUUUAAUGUAUUAUCAAUUUAAUGCAUUCAAAAUAAACUCAGUUUUUUUGUAUAUUGUGUCCUUUUAAUAAUCAAGAAGUGGACUCCAGUUAAGAUGUCAAAUUAAUAGAUAGGUGCACAAUAUGGAGUUUACAAA